rnacentral:piRNA from 1 species
UAAACAAGUACAAAAUGCUAACCAAUCUUGAA